rnacentral:lncRNA from 1 species
AUGGAAGUAGUAUAUAACAAUGUAAAAACUAAAUCUUACUCCUCUCCAAUAGAUGCCUUUUUUAGAUAAAUGGGAAAAUGAUGAACAAGCCCUCAACUCUGCUCUGAAGGCAGAAAUUGGAUUAACAAAACUCCUGGAAGACCUGCAGACUGCAGCUUCUCAGGCUGUAGAUACUCAUCUCUUAAAGUUUGUGGAGGGGUACCUGAUCAAACAGGAAAGAAACACCACUUACCUGGAACGUGAAAUCACUUAUCAGAAGCAAUUACAAGAGCUGAAGGAACAAGAGCUGAGGGAGCAGCAGAUGAGAGAGCAGCAGAUGAGAGAGCAGCAGAUGAGAGAGCAGCAGAUGAGGGAGCAGCAGAUGAGGGAGCAGCAGGAGCAGGAGAUGAAGGAGAAGGAGCAGGGGCAGGAGAUGGAGAUGGAGACGAAGGAGACGAAGGAGACAAAGGAGCAGGGGCCGGAGCAGGGGCUGGAGCAGGAGCCAGAGCAGGAGCAAGACAUGAAGAAGAAGGAGCAGGGGCCCGACCAGGAGCCGGAGAGGAAGGAGAUGAAGGAGAUGAAGGAGACAAAGGAGCAGGGGCUGAAUGAGUAGCCUGAAAGCCUAUCUGAAAUCCCUGCUGGACCCCUGGACCCCUGCGUAGACAUCUCCGCAGAGAUUUAACCUCUGAGGGCAGCAUUAGAAGUGUUCCGAAUGAAGUUGGUUCCAAAAUUGCCUAUUUAGGAGUCAGUCAUUUCCACCUGCCCCAUACUGUUUUUCUAUUUUCCUAAUGUUCAUUGCUGUGCGUGAAAAUAAAUCUGUUUUGCAUGACAAUUAUGAGCAGAGUUUAUUGUAAGAAAGGUUAAUUCCAAUAGUGUGAGAUUGGCGAACGAACGCUUCCUGAAGCAAAGUAGGUGCCACAGAUUUUUUAAAAAAUAUCUAUCUUGUUCUGUUGCUCAAAACAGCAUUGAGAUUUUGUAAAUUAUUUAAUCAGUAAAAGCAAAU